UGGAGUACCGCUUAUGCCAAGCCUGCAUGAGGGGCAAGGACUUCUACGAAGGUGUACGAUCAGUGCUGAUCGACAAGGACCACAGCCCCCGGUGGAGCCCGGCGACGCUCGCUGAGGUGUCGGACCACAGCGUGGACCAGUGCUUCUCCCCCCUGGGAGAGAGGGACCUCCGCCUCUGAAGGCUCUCUCUCUCUCUCUCUC